rnacentral:misc_RNA from 1 species
GUGAUAAAAUCAGUGAGGAUGUACAAAAUAAAAGGAUUAAUACCCUAGAGGAGCCGCAAUUAGAUGUAACCAAUGGAAUAAAUACUUCAUUUGAUGAGGAUCGGAAGCGUCGAGUUGUUGAAACUGUAAUUCAAAAGAAUCAAGCAGUGGUUGGAACUGUAAGCCGACCUGCCCUAGAUGUAAGGAGAGACCAAUCUUUUUGCAAUGUCGAAUUGCGCGUCUAUAAAGAUGAACCAAUAAGUGAGCCUAGGCCAAUUCCAGUCAAGAAAGUGGGAAGUAAGAGGGUGCAAAAAUUGGUUGCUGAGGGUACUGAGGUGAAGACCAACAAGCUGAGACGGUUGACACGGUCAACUUUGAACUUUAAGGUAGAGCCUGUGGAGGUCAAAGUUAAUGGAUUAGAAGCUAUUGACAGUGAAAUGUUUUCAAAAGUAGAUGUGGAGAUGAUAGCUGAAGGAAGCGCGUUGACCCCACCAAAGAAGAAUUUAGAAUUGAAA